GCUAACUGAUACUAAUUGCCCGUGAGGCUUAACCAUACAACACCCAAGGGGUU
rnacentral:rRNA from 1 species